CUCCGGCGAUCUUGCUUGGUUCACCGACGAAUUGUCGGCGACGAUCAUGAUCCAGAAAUGACGAUCUCUCACUUCGUCUAGGUAGAUUUUGUGAAUGGGAAUCAAAGAUCAAGUGGUGUUGUGAUGCUCUGUAUCUGGUAUAGAUUUUGUUCUGCAUCACUGUGUUUCCGGU